AAACAAUUAAUAACGGGAAUGAUAGUUAAACAUUUACAUCCGAUUCCAUUCAUUUUUCUUNAGAUAAUACUUAAGUUAUCAUAUAUAAUUAAAAUAAAUUAUAUAAUCAAUGUUGUAAAAUAAUUAUAAUAAUUUGUAGCCAUUAAUUAUUAGAUUAAGUUGUUAGUAUUAACCAGAUUAAGAUAACACAUUUACACACGCACACACACAUAGAUCUCCAGUUAUAAGGAGGCCGGCCACUUCUAAUCACAACUACAGUGUAUGUAUUGUUCCCGUUGCUUUUGGACAGAUGAUCACAAGCGAAUGUAAAAGACUACGCAGAGAUUCUUACAAAAGCACGGGAAACCUAGAACAGUGUUUUAUAUUUUAAAAAUUAUUAAAAAAGAAACAGUUGUUAUAUUAAAAUCUUUUUAUUUACUACGGUCACCUUUAUCAAAUUCAACAGAUCAAUUUGCCGCCUGAAGAAGAAAGGUAAUCAAAUUUAUAAUUAACUUACACGUGUGAAUCAAUUUUAUAUAAUUAGGCACACCCGCUAUAUUUUCGAAUUACAACAAUAUAAUAAAAUGUAUACAAUUUUUUGUAGUUUUGAAAUUUGAAAAUCAGCUGAGAGAUUCGUGGAACAAUGAAAUGGAAUUAUAUAUUAUUUUGAAAAUAUAUACCACAACACAUAAAUGAACUUAUAAUGACA